UACAGAGGUCUCAAGCGUUGUUCGGAUUCAUUGGGCGUAAAGGGCGCGUAGGCGGCGGGGUAAGUCUGGUGUGAAAUCUCGGAGCUCAACUCCGAAAUUGCACUGGAUACUGCUCUGCUUGAGGGUUGGAGAGGAGAUCGGAAUUCUCGGUGUAGCGGUGAAAUGCGUAGAUAUCGAGAGGAACACCUGCGGCGAAGGCGGGUUGCUGGGCUGACACUGACGCUGAAGCGCGAAAGCUAGGGGAGCGAACGGG
rnacentral:rRNA from 1 species